UGUCAAUGUCGUCGUCGUCGUCAUCAGGAGUCUACAUUUUCACCCAUUAAGUAUUUAUUAGUGUUAAAUGAUAUUCCCCAGACCUGAUUAAGUUUUAGAAAUAUAAAAACGAACGUCCAUGACCUAUGUCAACCUGCGAUACAAUUAGUACAGGGCAUUUUAGUAAUCUUAGAAACGGUUGUUUGGAAGUAUCAUAUUAUAGAGUAAACACAAACUCUGUUUGUGAUUCAGACCUAAGUUAUUGCAGCUCAGUAAUGAUGCUUCAGCAGCGAAUCAUCUAUCGGCAGUGGUUAUCAAUAUAACAGGUAAUAUUAGCUUGUUAAUUUUAGUACCCUGGUCUCAUCCAUCAAUUAUUCAUGAAAGCACGAGGUGUGUUUAUCUUAGUACCAGCAGACAACAAGAACUAAACUUGAGGAGGCUUCUGAAGAGUCACUGGAGUUGGGUGCCUGAAAAUCUGCACUUGAUUAUUAAGGAACAUCCAGCCAGGCAUGGUGGAUUUUCGUCCCUUUAAUCCCAAUGCUCAGGAGGCAGAGGCAGGCAGAUCUCUAUGAGUUCCAGCCAGCCUGGUCUGCGUACACCUUUCUAGGCCAGGCAGGGCUACAUGGUAAGCCCUUGUCUCAAAACAAAAACAACGACAAAGGAGAGACAAGAGAGAGGAACAUCCAGUCACUGGGAAUCCUAGCACUUAGGAGCAAGAGAACUGAGUUUGUGACUGUGUAACAAGAAAUGUGCUUUGCGCCUUAACCCAUCACGUUCUGCUGGCUCUCGUUUGUCUGUUCUGAGCCAAUAUUCACAUUUCCUGGAAGUUGAAACAUGUACCUUAUAGACUGACACAGUGGUGACUCCUGACUCAGAGUUACUGAAGGAUGGGAAGAGAUCUUUGUUCUUCUAAACUCUAUGACUCUGGGUGUUUGUUUGUAUGUCUGUGAAUCAAUCGCGUGCACGCUUGGUGCUGAGGAAGGAAGGAAGGCCAGAAGACACGAAAUCCCCUGGAACUGGAGUUGCAGAUGGUUGUGAGUUGCCAUGUGGCUGCUGAGACUCAAACCUGAAUCCUCUGUAAGACCAGCCAUUUCUUAACUACCGGUUCAUCUGUCCAGCCCUUAAGAUUUAUUUAUUUGUUUGUUUCUUGAGACAGGGUUUCUCUGAGUAGCAGCUCUGGUUGGCCUGGAACUUACUUUAUAGACCAGGCUGGCCUUGAACUCAGAGAUCCGAGUGCUUCUGCCUCCCAAGUGUUGGGAUGAAAGCCAGAAGAUGUGUCAAAUCUCCUGGAGCUGGAGUUAAAGGUAGUUGUGAGCCACUUGGCAUGGGUGCUAGGAACUAACCUUUAGUUACCCAGUCAUCUCUCCAGCUCCUGUCUCUAAGCAACAAUUAGAACGUGCACACAGCAAAAUGGUUCCAGCUGCCUUUGGGAAACAGCUCAAAGGCUGAAAUACUGAUAAGUCGG
rnacentral:lncRNA from 1 species